rnacentral:pre_miRNA from 1 species
AGUGGAAUUGCUGGGUCAUAUGGUGAUUUUAUGUUUAGCUUUUUGAGGAACUGCCCAACUGUUUUCCACAGUGGCUGCACCGUUCUGCAUUCCCACCAGCAAU